ACGCCUCCUGUGUCUCUCCACAGUCAAGAAACAGGAUUACUGGCCAGAAGAACACUUCACUUUCCACUCGAGUGUCCAGUCACAUACACUCUGCCACAUGCAUUCGGGAGGCAGCGUAUGGGCAGAGAGAGACAACGGCGAAAUCCAGUGACACACUGCCCUCAGCGCAUGCAUUUGUUUUGGUCUGAGACACCAGUGCUCCAUUGUGAUGUCCAGUGCCAGCAACUGCUGUGCAUCAGAGAGGACAGUCUGGACCUGUCCUUUGUGCCAAAAAGAUCCAAUUGUUCGGCGAAACAAUGCUGCCGCUCACCUAAAAUAAUUGAGCAACCCUCUCUCUGGUUGUCACUCAUCCUUGGUGCACCAAACGAAAAAGCCUCUGGAUAAUUCUUGCAGGGUCACGGGGGGCGACGGCAGAGCACAGCCUGAAUAAGUCUGCAGUUCAUCAUGAGGCCGACAUGUCGGGACAAACAACCAUCACGCUCACAUUCACACCUACGGACGAUUUAGAGUAAUCAAUUCACCUUUUUGCUUUUCUUUGGAUUGCGGGAGGAAGUCGGAGUCUUCAGAGAAGAACCCCACGCAGACACGUGGACGACAUGCAAAACUCCGCACAGAGGACGACAGCGAAAAAAAACAAAACGUACAUGUGAUUAGAUUAAAGUCACCGUUUCAGGCGCAUUAUUUUUAUGGGUGCAAAAAGGUGUUACAGGGAAGGUUGUAAAGCUAAUUGUUAGACCUGAGAUGCUCCGAACAGGAGGCAGAUGGCUUCAUUAAAACUGUGACAGGCUUUCAAUGGUAUUCAGCAGAUGAUUGAGAUUUAUGACCGUCUUUGGUUAUUGUCCUUUCUAGACAUUAUAAACUAUUGAUUUGUUAUUGCUCCACACAAAUACCGGUGCACACCCGCACAAGAGGGGAAAGAAAAUCCAACAACACACUUCCUUCGAAAGUGAAAGCUCGACGUGACAUACAUUCAGCCACCGUGCGCCUCGCGGAUGACAAUCAUGAUUUUCCAGGCGAUGGUUAGCGAGCUGUCGGGUGGCAGGCAGGGAGCUAAUGUCACUUCACGAGCUAAUUAUAAUCGAAACCGCAGUGUUUCUUUUUUUUUUUGUUUCAUUUUUCGUGCCGUGGUUUGAUUCAAAACAUGAUUAGAAAUAGACAAUGUGAAAGCUACUUAACGUGCACCCGCGGAGUCUUUGUGUGAUGUGUUGCCACCUUUUGUUGUCCUCUCAUAUUCAACACUACCCAGCUGACAUUCUACCUUGCAAUAAAGCACGGUGUAUAAUUUGAGGAAAUAAGCAGAUAAUUCGACAGCACGUGAGGAUAUAAUUUAGACACGGACAUAACUGGAACAGCGCUCUAAACUGCAGAAUGAUAAAUAUUUUUGGAGCUUGGCUUGAAACUUUUCAAAAUGAAAAGCACUCCCUUGCAACCUUCAGUAAGACCUAAAUAUAGAAAAUGGUUUUGCCUCUCAGAUGUUGUUGUAGGAGGACCUCUGAUGCAGAAAUUAGAGGUGUUUUUUUUUUUUUUUUUUUUAAAUGUUUAUGUACGUUUUUAAAGAAAUGCUGUUAUAGUUGGGAGCAGAAUUUCUGUUUAUUUCAUCAAGUACAAGACAAGAUCACAACUGACAAAGGAAUGAGUUCCACACGCCGAGGUUGGAUCCCAGUAUUUUCCGGCUCUCACAAGGCAGCGACAAGUUGCUCAGAUUAUUUUGCAAAUUGGAGAAAUGUGGAAAACAAAAUGUCUCCGGGUCGUAAUUAAUGCUUUUCUCUCCAGUCGUCGAUAUCGCGCGUUUCCUUGUGAAGCCGUGCACGCGGAGCGGCGAGCGGCGAUGUUUAAUUCAGCUGAGAGCAGGAUUAUAAAUACAGGUGAGUUUGAAUCAUAAUAAUGAAAUGGACAGAGGUAGACACAGCUGAAUGAUGAGAGGACUAUCAGCAGGAACCGGCUCAGCUAGCAGACAGGCCAGUGGUAAAUUAGGGGAAGUGUCUUAGGGAAGACGCUCACGUUGCUGAGAGAGAGAGAGAGAGAGCGGAUCCCAGAAGAGUUAUGUCAGGGUGGAUGGAGAAAUUCUGUAAUGGGCAGAGUGAGGGGAGGAGAGAGAAACAGGCGAGCAGAGCGAGUUGAUCCGGUGAUUAAAAUUAACCACAGUGCAGCGCCGCACUCAACAGGCGAGCUAACAGGCGCUGCUUGCUCCAACGCUGUCGGCUUUGCAUACCUGGGCGCCCCCGCUGGGAGAGGUCCCAGACGUAUACAUUCAUCGCGACGAGGCGGAAUUAAAACGAACACAGCGUGAGAUGAGCCCGCGUGCGCGUCCGCGGGGAGCGACGCCACGCUGACAUUCCUCUCUGAAACAGGCGGCACAUUAGCAGCACCCUAUCAAAAGAUCCAUCAUGACUAUUUGGUAUGCUAUUAAAGCAUAAUAGACAGCUGGAUGGCACUGCAUACCCAUAGUGCUUAAUCCAUGCCCUGCCGGUAUUCACCACUCACUAAAAAACAUUCAUAUGGCCUGUAGUGCAAUAUCCUACACACUUGAGAGGCUUCCAUUUAUUUGCUCUUGAAGCAUUAGCUCCGGGGCAAUACUACAUCCAUUACAGACGACUGCUCUCACUGUAAUGCAUUCAUCCUCCGUCUCUGUCUGUCUGCUAAUUUCUCAUCUUGAGUAACCAACUAAAAUGUGAAGUGCACUGUAAUAGGGGGAUCCUAGCCCACCGUCAUUAUCAGAUAGCGAGGUUAGGAGGCAUAAAACGAGACGGGGGGGUUUUAGCUCUUUUUUUUUUUUUUUUCGUAGGCCGAAGCUACAUUUGGUUAACAUUCAUUUUUUUAAGCACUUACUUUUAACCAAAUUUAAUGAUGCGUCUCCACAUCGAGAAAAUCAUCCACUUGAGCCGCACUGCCUGGAGGAGGUAGACCUUGUAGAGUGCAGUCAUUGGACUGGCAAAGGAGUCAAAGACUGAAAAACUCCAGUCGUACUUCAUAUUUAAUGAUCACAUCGUAUUAACUGUAUGUUUCCCAGCUGCUGGAUGGGGUGCCAUUAAUUCCAGUGCUGAAUCCUGAAGAGGCCAGACACUUUUCAACAGCUCAGAAGCACUGUUUCAUCACCAUAAU